ACGAGGAAUUCCCAGUAAGCGCGAGUCAUUAGCUCGCGUUGAUUACGCCCCUGCCCUUUGUACACACCCGCCCGUCGCUACUACCGAUUGAAUGGUUUAGUGAGGUCCUCCGAUUGGACCCGGUCCGGGCGGCGACGUCCGAGCCGGCGUCCGAGAAGACGAUCUAACUUGAUCAUUUAGAGGAAGUAAAAGUCGUAACAAGGUUUCCGUAGGUGAACCUGCGGAAGGAUCAUUA
rnacentral:ncRNA from 1 species